rnacentral:rRNA from 1 species
UUCCGGUUGAUCCUGCCGGACCCGACUGCUAUUUGGGUGAGGAUAAGCCAUGCGAGUUGAAUGGGAUACCCAGAAAUCCCAUGGCAAACUGCUCAGUAACACAUGAUCAACUUACCCUAUAGAGGAAAAUAACCUCGGGAAACUGAGGAUAAUGUUCCAUAGUUGAAUCGGCUUGGAAAAGUUUUUCAAUAAAAGGGAUAAGGAAAAUGGUCCUUAUCUGCUAUAGGAUAGGAUCGUGCUCGAUUAUGGUUGUUGGUGAGGUAAAGGCUCGCCAAGCCGAUAAUCGAUAGGGGCCGUGAGAGCGGGAGCCCCGAGAUGGGUACUGAGACAACGACCCGGGCCUUACGAGGCGCAGCAGGCGCGAAACCUCCGCAAUACACGAAAGUGUGACGGGGUUACCCAAAGUGUUCUAUUUAGAACUGUGGUAGGUGAGUAAUGUCCCCUACUAGAAAGGAGAGGGCAAGGCUGGUGCCAGCCGCCGCGGUAAAACCAGCUCUUCAAGUGGUCGGGAUAAUUAUUGGGCUUAAAGUGUCCGUAGCCGGUUUAGUAAGUUCCUGGUAAAAUCGGGUAGCUUAACUAUCUAUAUGCUAGGAAUACUGCUAUACUAGAGGGCGGGAGAGGUCUGAGGUACUACAGGGGUAGGGGUGAAAUCUUAUAAUCCUUGUAGGACCACCAGUGGCGAAGGCGUCAGACUGGAACGCGCCUGACGGUGAGGGACGAAAGCCAGGGGAGCGAACCGGAUUAGAUACCCGGGUAGUCCUGGGCCGUAAACGAUGCAUACUAUGUGAUGGCACGGGCCAUGAGCCGUGUCAGUGCCGUAGGGAAACCGUUAAGUGUGCCGCCUGGGAAGUACGGUCGCAAGGCUAAACUUAAAGGAAUUGGCGGGGAGCACACAAGGGUGAAGCCUGCGUUCAAUUGGAAUCACGCCGG